rnacentral:ribozyme from 14 species
UUUCUUGUUGUUUCCCUUUUUCUUGUUGUUUCCCUUUUUCUUGUUGUUUCCCUUUUUAUGUGUGG